GCGGAUGUGGCGGAAUUGGCAGACGCGCCAGAUUUAGGUUCUGGUUCCGAGAGGAGUGUAGGUUCAAGUCCUAUCAUCCGCA
rnacentral:tRNA from 2 species